GGUUCAAAUGGAAGAUAAUUCAUCAAAGAGUAAUGUAAUAGGAGUAAAAAUGAUUUUAAGCGGUGCAAAUGGUAGAAAAUCGUACCUCAAUAGCAAUGGUAAAGGAGAGAAUUCGCGAGGAAGACGAUGAACAGUGAAUGCACGUAACUGCUGCUUGGGUUCGCAGGUUGGUAAUAGCAGCAAUUUAGACAUCGGCUCCCUCCCCGCCCAGCCGACGUCUAAAUCACGGCCCCCUCCCUAGCCAC
rnacentral:lncRNA from 1 species